rnacentral:sRNA from 1 species
UAACGUCAUUUCAGACGUAGUGCCAGGCC